CCAACAGGGAUUGCCCCAGUAACGGCGAGUGAAGCGGCAACAGCUCAAAUUUGAAAUCUGGCCCUUGUGGUCCGAGUUGUAAUUUGCAGAGGAUGCUUCGGGUGCGGCGUCGACCAAGUCCCCUGGAACGGGGCGCCAUAGAGGGUGAGAGCCCCGUCGGGUCGACUGCUAAGCCUAUGUGAAGCUCCUUCGACGAGUCGAGUAGUUUGGGAAUGCUGCUCUAAAUGGGAGGUAGACCCCUUCUAAAGCUAAAUAUUGGCCAGAGACCGAUAGCGCACAAGUAGAGUGAUCGAAAGAUGAAAAGCACUUUGAAAAGAGGGUUAAACAGUACGUGAAAUUGUUGAAAGGGAAGCGCUUGUGACCAGACGUGCGCCGGGUGUUCAGCGGGCGUUCUCGCCCGUGCAUUCACCCCGGCGCAGGCCAGCGUCGGUUCGGAUGGGGGGAUAAAGGCCCUGGGAACGUGGCUCCUCCGGGAGUGUUAUAGCCCAGGGCGUCAUGCCCCCGCCCGGACCGAGGUUCGCGCUCUGCAAGGACGCUGGCGUAAUGGUCCCCAGCGGCCCGUCUUGAAACACGGACCAAGGAGUCGAGGUUUUGCGCGAGUGUUUGGGUGUCAAACCCGCACGCGUAAUGAAAGUGAACGCAGGUGGGAGCUUCGGCGCACCACCGACCGAUCCUGAUGUUCUCGGAUGGAUUUGAGUAGGAGCGUAGGGCCUCGGACCCGAAAGAUGGUGAACUAUACGUGGAUAGGGUGAAGCCAGAGGAAACUCUGGUGGAGGCUCGCAGCGGUUCUGACGUGCAAAUCGAUCGUCAAAUCUGCGUAUGGGGGCGAAAGACUAAUCGAACCAU
rnacentral:rRNA from 1 species